UCUCCGGAGGCCUUGCUCAGAACGAUG
rnacentral:piRNA from 1 species